CAGCAUGGUGCUGAUCUGCAGCCCUGCGGCUGCUGGUUGCCUUUGGAGGGCUGCAUUGAAGGAGAGCAUGGAAGGAGAGCAUUUAGCUUCAGCUAAAUGAAGGAGGGCAUGAUCACGGAAUCAUAGAAAAGUGCAGCUCACAGCAUCUCCUGGAGGAGCCUGACCUGGUGACGAAGCCCUACAACACACUGUCGCUGUUCUGCAGCAGUUUUGAUCCCACCGUCAUACAGUGUUGCAUGGACGUGACCAAGGGCAGCUCUGUGGGAGGAAGCCAGGAGGAGAAACCUAAAGGAUCCCGUGCUCCUUGCACAGCAGUGCUGGCUGCUUUGUUCACCACCAGAAAGAAGGGAAACAGGCCUCCAGCUGCUGUACAAAGAGACGGUGGGACAUGGGCUUACCUUGGAGCAGUGACCUUGGCCUUGUUCCUUGGUGUCCCAGCAGUGUCCAGGAGCACUGGACAGGUGGGCUGUCCCUCUCAGAAGGUGAUGGCUCAAUUUUGGGACCCCUCAAAGGCUGCCUGGAGACGGCAGCAUCCCGUGAGUGCAAGGAGGGGUGGGCACACUGGGCUGUUGGGUCUCAUGCCACGUCAGCUGGUCUGUGUCCCAGCUGGGCAGAGCUGAUGGAAGCAG
ensembl:lncRNA